rnacentral:rRNA from 1 species
UACGUAGGGUGCAAGCGUUGUCCGGAAUUAUUGGGCGUAAAGAGCUCGUAGGCGGCUUGUUGCGUCGGCUGUGAAAUCCCGAGGCUCAACCUCGGGUCUGCAGUCGAUACGAGCAAACUAGAGUGUUGCAGGGGAGACUGGAAUUCCUGGUGUAGCGGUGAAAUGUGCAGAUAUCAGGAGGAACACCGGUGGCGAAGGCGGGUCUCUGGGCAGUAACUGACGCUGAGGAGCGAAAGCGUGGGGAGCGAACAGG